UACGUAGGAUCCAAGCGCUAUCCGGAAUUACUGGGCGUAAAGCGUGCGCAGACUGUUUGGUAGGUCUUAUGCGAAAUCCGGUGGCUCAACCACCUGGACUGUAUGAGAAACCCCCAAACUUGAGGUAGGUAGAGGUACAUGGAAUUUCUGGUGUAGGAGUGACAUCCGUAGAUAUCAGAAGGAACACCAAUGGCGAAGGCAGUGUACUGGGCCUUACCUGACGUUCAGGCACGAAAGCGUGGGUAGCAAACAGG
rnacentral:rRNA from 1 species